GUGGAAGCUUUAUUGCUGGCAAAAGUGUCCAUAACCAGAGGGUAUAUCAGCUGUUUUGGUGAACCCUUCCCGCAUCUGAACUGGCUGACACAGAGGGCACAGCAUGAUCAUAGGUAUGUUUUGAUGUGAGAGAGGAAGCCAAUCCCGUCAUCGCCACCUUACCCACUCUUAAGAUAUCCUUCGGGCCAACUGGGGGCCCAAGGCUGGUUAGGAGACGCCACAAUUGUGAUGAAUUGAGAGAAUAUU